rnacentral:rRNA from 1 species
AGUGGCGGACGGGUGAGUAACGCGUAAGAAUCUAACUUCAGGACGGGGACAACAGUUGGAAACGACUGCUAAUACCCGAUGUGCCGCAAGGUGAAACCUAAUUGGCCUGAAGAAGAGCUUGCGUCUGAUUAGCUAGUUGGUGGGGUAAAGGCCUACCAAGGCGACGAUCAGUAGCUGGUCUGAGAGGAUGAGCAGCCACACUGGGACUGAGACACGGCCCAGACUCCUACGGGAGGCAGCAGUGGGGAAUUUUCCGCAAUGGGCGAAAGCCUGACGGAGCAACGCCGCGUGAGGGAGGAAGGUCUUUGGAUUGUAUACCUCUUUUCUCAAGGAAGAAGUUCUGACGGUACUUGAGGAAUCAGCCUCGGCUAACUCCGUGCCAGCAGCCGCGGUAAUACGGGGGAGGCAAGCGUUAUCCGGAAUUAUUGGGCGUAAAGCGUCCGCAGGUGGUCAGCCAAGUCUGCCGUCAAAUCAGGUUGCUUAACGACCUAAAGGCGGUGGAAACUGGCAGACUAGAGAGCAGUAGGGGUAGCAGGAAUUCCCAGUGUAGCGGUGAAAUGCGUAGAGAUUGGGAAGAACAUCGGUGGCGAAAGCGUGCUACUGGGCUGUAUCUGACACUCAGGGACGAAAGCUAGGGGAGCGAAAGGGAUUAGAUACCCCUGUAGUCCUAGCCGUAAACGAUGGAUACUAGGCGUGGCUU